rnacentral:lncRNA from 1 species
GUCAUGAUAAAAACAGCGAAUGUUUGUAAAUUCAUGUUUCAAGGUAUAUCUUCACUGGAGUACUGGAUGGUACUGGAGAUGAUACGAAUUCGCCAGUCAACUAGUCAAAUCGAACUAGUCGCUCUUCGAUGAUACCGACAAUUUGCUAUACAUUUGUUGACAUCGAAUAAAACACAUUACGCAUUCAACAUCAUUACUUAUACAAUCAGUUGAGGACAUUUAAAAAAGGAAACGGUCAGCAAUAAUGAUACAUUAUAUUAUUGUUUGCAAUAUAGCAGCAAGAUGGCAACAACAAAUGAUUGAUAACAAAUUAAUGCUGACAUGUUGCUAUCAAUUUGUCAUUGUUAAAAAUAGAAUUCAUAUAAGUUCAACCUAACAGACAUAAUGCUGUUUCACCUUGUUCAAAGUUUAAAUUAGUUGCUGCACGAUUGUUGGCAACAUAAUUGCACCAUCAAGACAUUUGGCUAUCUAAGAUUUUGUUGAUAUGCAACGUAACCACGUUGUUAAAACUUUUAUAUACUGGUGUCCAUGGUAUACCAUGGAAUUUGUGAUAAUAAUAGCCAUGAUAUUUAGCAGUGUUAUAUAGUGAUAAAAAUGGAAUACUUUGGCAAAAAAGUAAUCAAUAAAUUAAAAAAUAAAACAUUCUCUAAUAUUAUAUUAUAUUCUUUUAAAAUAAUUCUUUAACUUAUUUGAAUUAUUCUUAUUUUGUUUCGAUUAUUGAAUAAUCUAAUUUCAUUAUCUUCACUUUCAAUGAAAGCAAAUUAAAAGAAAGUAUACUCAAUUUUUAAAAAUCAAGCUUUACUAAUAAAAAUUUAUAUUGAUUAUUAAUUGUUAAUUCGUGUAAACAAAAGAUGCUUAAUAUUUAAGUUCAUAUCUUUUAUAUUAUCAGAAUAAAGAGAUUUGUUGAUUGUAAUAAAAAGAUGUUCAAGAAAUAUUACAAUAUCCUACUUUAUAAUGAUGCGAAAAGUUAAAUCCUUUAUUAUAUAAGUUUUGUAUGUGAUUAUAAUAUACAAGUAAAAUAUACUAGUUAGUGAAAUAUAGAUUCUGUAAGAAUUACAUUAAGGAUUUUUGUAAAAGACAAUGAUAUACUAUAUAGUGAAAAAAAUCGAUGUAUAUUCAUUUUAACAUAUCAACACAAUUAGGAAAGUAUUCGUUAACAAAAAUAAAGAUUGGCGUUCUCUUUGUUAAAGCACUAUGUAGAAGUAUUUAUUCCCUGCGAUGUUUUCUCAUAAUUAUAUAUACAAUUAGAUACAAAAAUAUAACAAAGAUUGGCGAAAAAAUAAUUUUCAGUUCCAUCAAUCGAAUAGAUACUCUCUGCGAUUCAGAAAAAGAAUGGAAUUUUAAUCUUAAAUUGAUCUGUUGUCUUUUAAAAUAUAUAUCGUAAGAUCUGAAGAUAACACGAUUGACAGAGGGUGCAUAGUAAAUCAAUUUAGUCCAUGGAUUCAAACGGGAUAAAAUUUUGGUCAGAUUUAUUCGAAGAGAUCGUUCGUACUUUCUUAAGCUAACAAAUACAAAUCGUUUACAAGACGUUAAAGAGAACGUAAAUCAUCAUGUUCGUUGCAUGCUGCCUUUUAUUUUAUUUUUUAUUCUUUUUUUUAUGUCUUUAUAUAGAGUCUCAAAUCAACGUAUAAUUCCAUGUGCGUGUAAAAGCACACCAAUUAAUUUAUUGGAUUGACCAAUUGAAUUAAUUUGUGUUCAUGUAAGCCCUUAAUAUAAUAGAUAAUUAAUGUGAAAAAUAAGAUCUUGCUAAUACUGUUCUCUAAUAUAAAGCAUAGAAGCAUUGUGUGACAAAUUAAAGAUCCUAUGGGCUAA